rnacentral:rRNA from 1 species
GACGAACGCUGGCGGCGUGCCUAAUACAUGCAAGUCGAACGCAUUUUCUUUCACCGUAGCUUGCUACACCGAAAGAAAAUGAGUGGCGAACGGGUGAGUAACACGUGGGUAACCUGCCCAUCAGCGGGGGAUAACACUUGGAAACAGGUGCUAAUACCGCAUAAUUCCAUUUACCGCAUGGUAAAUGGAUGAAAGGCGCUUUUGCGUCACUGAUGGAUGGACCCGCGGUGCAUUAGCUAGUUGGUGGGGUAACGGCCUACCAAGGCUGCGAUGCAUAGCCGAACUGAGAGGGUGAUCGGCCACACUGGGACUGAGACACGGCCCAGACUCCUACGGGAGGCAGCAGUAGGGAAUCUUCGGCAAUGGACGCAAGUCUGAACGAGCAACGCCGCGUGAGUGAAGAAGGUUUUCGGAUCGUAAAACUCUGUUGUUAGAGAAGAACAAGGAUGAGAGUGGAAAGUUCAUCCCUUGACGGUAUCUAACCAGAAAGCCACGGCUAACUACGUG